rnacentral:rRNA from 1 species
GAUGAACGCUGGCGGCGUGCUUAAUACAUGCAAGUCGAGCGGAAGGACGAGGAGCUUGCUUUUCUGACGUUAGCGGCGGACGGGUGAGUAACACGUGUAUAACCUACCUGUAUUACGGGGAUCACUUCGAGAAACCGGAGCUUAUACCGGAGAAUAUUCUGAUCCGCAGGGUUCAAAGGUGAGAUACGGUGUUGCUGGCACUUCUAGAGGCAUCUGCGCUGGAUUGGCUGGUUGGUAAGGUAACGGCCUACGAAGGCAACGAGGCAUAGCCGACCUCAUAGGGUGGUCGGCCACACUGGAACUUGGCCGCGGUCCAUGCGCCUGCGGGAGGGAGCAGUAUGGAAUCGUCCGCAGUGGGCGGGAGCAUGACGGAGCGACGCCGCGUGUGUGACGGAGGUCUUCGGAUCGUAAUGCUCUGUUAUGAGGGAUAAACAGAUGUGGAAGUAGCCGUGCACUGCGUGACGGUACCGAAUCAAAAAGCCACGGCUAACUACGUG